rnacentral:rRNA from 1 species
CCUACGGGGGGCAGCAGUGAGGAAUAUUGGUCAAUGGGCGCGAGCCUGAACCAGCCAAGUAGCGUGAAGGAUGACUGCCCUACGGGUUGUAAGCUUCUUUUAUAGAGGAAUAAAGUGAGGCACGUGUGCCUUUUUGUAUGUACUUUAUGAAUAAGGAUCGGCUAACUCCGUGCCAGCAGCCGCGGUAAUACGGAGGAUCCGAGCGUUAUUCGGAUUUAUUGGGUUUAAAGGGAGCGUAGAUGGGUUGUUAAGUCAGUUGUGAAAGUUUGCGGCUCAACCGUAAAAUUGCAAUUGAUACUGGCAGGCUUGAGUACAGUUGAGGUAGGUGGAAUUCGUGGUGUAGCGGUGAAAUGCGUAGAUAUCACGAAGAACUCCGAUUGCGAAGGCAGCUUACUAAACUGACACUGACACUGAGGCUCGAAAGUGUGGGUAUCAAACAGGAUUAGAUACCCCAGUAGUC